rnacentral:tRNA from 1 species
AGUCUGGUGUCUGAUAAAAGUGGUAAAUUGUAAAUUUAUUUAUGAAGGCGGUUAGUCCAUGCUUUCCUGGGCUA